rnacentral:rRNA from 1 species
CUAGCGAGCCCAACCUCCCACCCGUGUUUACUGUACCUUAGUUGCUUCGGCGGGCCCGCCAUUCAUGGCCGCCGGGGGCUCUCAGCCCCGGGCCCGCGCCCGCCGGAGACACCACGAACUCUGUCUGAUCUAGUGAAGUCUGAGUUGAUUGUAUCGCAAUCAGUUAAAACUUUCAACAAUGGAUCUCUUGGUUCCGGCAUCGAUGAAGAACGCAGCGAAAUGCGAUAACUAGUGUGAAUUGCAGAAUUCCGUGAAUCAUCGAGUCUUUGAACGCACAUUGCGCCCCCUGGUAUUCCGGGGGGCAUGCCUGUCCGAGCGUCAUUGCUGCCCAUCAAGCACGGCUUGUGUGUUGGGUCGUCGUCCCCUCUCCGGGGGGGACGGGCCCCAAAGGCAGCGGCGGCACCGCGUCCGAUCCUCGAGCGUAUGGGGCUUUGUCACCCGCUCUGUAGGCCCGGCCGGCGCUUGCCGAACGCAAAUCAAUCUUUUCCAGGUUGACCUCGGAUCAGGUAGGGAUACCCGCUGAACUUAAGCAUAUCA